GGUCGGGCGAAGCGAAACAGUGCAACUAGUGGUUGGGCGAAGCUAACUGCACAGCAAGGGGUCAGGCAAGGCGGAGAACUGCCUCGAGGAGUCGAGCGCAUCCGACCCUGCGACUCGGGGUCGGCCAAGCUUUAGACAGACCCACCGAAAGGGGUGUGUGGUCACAGCAAAAACUCCCACAACUUGGCAUCCAAGGCGUGUCGCAAAAAGAGUCAAAGGUCAAGUUAAGGUCUGAUUUCACUAAGGUCAUAGCAUUGUUGUUCCCCAAAACACAGGAGAAAACUCAACUCAAGGCUAACCUAUUACAUC
rnacentral:lncRNA from 1 species